GACGAACCGAGCGAACGUUGUUCGGAAUAACUGGGCUUAAAGGGCGCGUAGGCGGGCUGUCAAGUCUGGGGUCAAAUCCCGCGGCUGAACCGCGGAACCGCCUCGGAUACUGACGGCCUCGAGGGGGGUAGGGGCGAGCGGAACUAAUGGUGGAGCGGUGAAAUGCGUUGAUAUCAUUAGGAACUCCGGUGGCGAAGGCGGCUCGCUGGACCUCUUCUGACGCUGAGGCGCGAAAGCUAGGGGAGCAAACGGG
rnacentral:rRNA from 1 species